GACCGAAGGUCGAGGUAGUGACGAAAAAUAACGAUACCGGACUCAUCCGAGGCCCGGUAAUCGGAAUGAGUACACUUUAAAACCGUCACCGAGGAUCUAUUGGAGGGCAAGUCUGGUGCCAGCAGCCGCGGUAAUUCCAGCUCCAAUAGCGUAUAUUAAAGUUGUUGCGGUUAAAAAGCUCGUAGUUGGAUCUCGGCGGGUAGAGGGCGGUAUGCUUGCUUGCAUUACUACCCUAUUACCCGUAGUUUUGCUAGAGGUUUCAGGGUGCUCUUAAUCGAGUGUCCUGGGAUGCUAGCAGGUUUACUUUGAAAAAAUUAGAGUGCUCAAAGCAGGCUACUACGCUUGAAUAUUCGUGCAUGGAAUAAUAGAAUAGGAAAUCGUUUCUAUUUUGUUGGUUUUCGGAAAUCGAUUUAAUGAUUAAUAGGGACAGUCGGGGGCAUUUGUAUUCAAACGACAGAGGUGAAAUUCUUGGACCGUUUGAAGACAAACUACUGCGAAAGCAUUUGCCAAGAAUGUUUUCAUUAAUCAAGAACGAAAGUUAGAGGUUCGAAGGCGAUUAGAUACCGCCCUAGUUCUAACCAUAAACGAUGCCAGCUAGCGAUCUGAGGACGUUUUUUUUGUAGACUCCUCAGGAAGCUUCCGGGAAACCAAAGCGUGUGGGUUCCGGGGGAAGUAUGGUUGCAAAGCUGAAACUUAAAGGAAUUGACGGAAGGGCACCACCAGGAGUGGAGCCUGCGGCUUAAUUUGACUCAACACGGGAAAUCUCACCAGGCCCGGACACUGGAAGGAUUGACAGAUUGAGAGCUCUUUCUCGAUUCGGUGGGUGGUGGUGCAUGGCCGUUCUUAGUUGGUGGAGUGAUUUGUCUGGUUAAUUCCGAUAACGAACGAGACUCUGUCCUGCUAAAUAGUGCAAGCCUCUCUUCUUGGGCUUGCAAUUCUUCUUAGAGGGACUGGCGGCUCCUAGCCGCACGAGAUAGAGCAAUAACAGGUCUGUGAUGCCCUUAGAUGUUCUGGGCCGCACGCGCGCUACACUGAAUAGAUCAGCGUGUUCUCCCUUCCUGAGAAGGACGGGUAAACCGCUGAACCCUAUUCGUGGUAGGGAUCGGGGCUUGCAAUUAUUCCCCGUGAACCAGGAAUUCCCAGUAGGCGCAAGUCAUAAGCUUGCGUCGAUUACGUCCCUGCCCUUUGUACACACCGCCCGUCGCUACUACCGAUUGAACGUUUUAGUGAGGUCCACGGACUGUUGCCAAGCGGAUUGUUCUGUCUGGCUGGCGG
rnacentral:rRNA from 1 species